UACGGGGGGGGCAAGCGUUGUUCGGAAUUACUGGGCGUAAAGGGCUCGUAGGCGGCCAACUAAGUCAGACGUGAAAUCCCUCGGCUUAACCGGGGAACUGCGUCUGAUACUGGAUGGCUUGAGUUCGGGAGAGGGAUGCGGAAUUCCAGGUGUAGCGGUGAAAUGCGUAGAUAUCUGGAGGAACACCGGUGGCGAAGGCGGCAUCCUGGACCGGCAUUGACGCUGAGGCGCGAAAGCGAGGGGAGCAAACGGG
rnacentral:rRNA from 1 species